ensembl:lncRNA
UAUGCCAGAGAUAGGGAGAAGGACAGCUGCUGAUGUAUUAAAUAUGUACAAACAGAAUAGAUAUAUCAAAAUUAAGUAGAAUCAUUUCUUUACCUAUAAUAGCUACAUACCUACUUAAGAAGUUUAGAUCAUAAUGCUCUGCUGCUUGUUGUAAUGUUACUUGCUUGUCUAUAACCAUGUCAUCUCAGCUUCCCUCACAUAUAUAAAGCUGCUUAAAGCCUGGUGAAUAUACAGUUAGAUGUUUCCGGAAAAUAUCUUGCUCAGAGGAUGAAAGCUGGUAUUUUCCUCUCUCAAUUAACAAAUCAGGAGACUAAGUAUCCUCACAGAACAUUAGAAACCAUUGGACUGUUGAAAUGCUAUGUUUUAAUGUGAGUAAUCAAUCACUUGUGAUAUUAAAUAGUCUGCAAGAUGAUUUACUAAAACAGAGCAUUAACCCUUGUGCCUACCAGAUUACAAGGUGAAAAAAUAUAAUCCUAUAUGCUGAUGAUUUAAUGCUGCAACAUAACAGCAUUGAUUAUCUAGGACUUUUUGUAAAGAGGAAGAUCAGCUACAAUAGCCCUCAUGUCUGCUUUGUGGGUGUUGCAAUCAAAACUCAUGGCAAAUCUGUAUUCAAAGUUGUUUGACAUUCUCAGUGUUUCUCUAAAUUACUUCGGAGUAUGUUUCCUCCAAAAUCGUUGUCAUGCACAUCAUUUUUAAAAUUUAGUCCAAAAUCAGUUUUUCCACCACUGGUCAGAAAUGCAAAUGUCCUUUCCGCACAAUUUUAACAUCACCCAAGUUAGCUGCUUACUGUACAUAUUUACCACAAUGUGGUACUAGGAUUUUAUUGCUCAUUCUGAAAUGAUUAAUGUUUCUUUAAAUAUGGGUCACUCACUGGAAGUCACUGUUUUGCAUUCAGGAGGGCUUCCACCAGAAAGUAGUGGAACACUCUGGUUCUGCCUGUGCUUCCCUCUGUGGUGAUCACAACAUCUCCUGCAUCAACAGUGCCUCCUUCCUUUGCAUUUGGAGAAAUGAAAGAUGCCACCUGUGUUCGCAAUGGGAUCUUCCACUAUUUAGCAAGUCUUUGCUGAAUGAGUCAUCAAAGCCGGCUGGUAUUGGCUGGCCUGGUGAGUACCCAAGGGAUUGCCUGGUAGAGGCUGCGAGGCCUUGCUUCAUUCACAGAAAUGUGAGGUUGCUAGCCAGCCCUUCCAUUCACACACUCUCAUUCACAUUUUGCAGUUUUGCUAGCGGCUUCUAAUGAAGAGAGCCAUUUGGGAGUGAUAGGGUUUUCUGGGCAAUUGAGACAAGUAAAAUUAGGCUAUGAUAUGCAUAUUUGCUGUUGCUAUGCUAGGAGGAUGAAGAGAGGAACAAAUACUGUGAGGAUGCUGUAGCAGGUUGGCAGUGUGAUGGUGAGAGGCUAUUCCACAGAUCACUAGAAACACUGACACUGUCAUUAUUCAUCACUGCGGGGAUAAGAGGUGCUGAUUUAAUUUAAUGGCAUAAAUAUAGUAAUUAAGUAACUGUAUUUAAGCUGUUUUGUUGUAUUCGAAUACUGUAGCCUUUAUUAAGGGAGAGAGAAGGAAUACCGCAGGACUUUUCCUUUAAAAUUUUCUGCAGUUAUUCGUCUGUUCAAAGAAGAAUGCUAUAUACUGCAUUUUUGUAUGUCUAAAAGAUGUUUUGAAAAGAAGGUCGGUUUAUAGAAAAGAGCUGUGUGGCUUGUGGUGAGCACUGUAUUUCACAAUGCUGUAUACACUCUGCAUUUUAAAAAGAACAAAAAAGAGAGAAAAAUGAAGUAACUGAUUUCUUCAUGUUUUUCUCCUCCCCCGGUCAAGUGCUUGUGGUUGAUAUUUAUGCUUAAUAAGAAUUGGUGUAUUCUUAUAUUCUUCACUGCAGGACAAUAGUGAAAUGAUGCAUGGACUUUUGACUAUUCCCCUUGCACUUCUCAGUUUUUCGGAAUUACAGCAAAUAUUCUAGGGAAUGGCAUAUCUAUUUCACAUUUUUUCUUCAGAGUGAAUAUCAGUGAUGAAAGAAAAAGCAUCUCUUAUGCCUGUUAUUGGACAUCAGAAAAAUACUCACUUCACACAUCGGUACUUUAUAUAAUCCUGCAUUAAAACAUAAGGUUGCUGUGAGGUAGGGGAGAAGGAUUGCUUUCUCUGUAAAAAAUUGGAAGUGAGAAUUUAUGUGAGAAAUAGCAUUGACACAAAAGCUUGUAAAAUCUGCUAGACUGCUUUUUGUGAAGGAAAAUAGUGUAUUUUCUUUAUUUCUGUCAUCUGUUUUUGAAAUGCUUAAAGGUAUUCUGAAAACCCUUUAAGGUAUCUGUGUUUUGCUUGUGGAAAGAGAAGGGAAUGUAUAUGUGUAUAUAUUAUCUAGAUAUUUGCUUUCUAAUUGUAUCUUCUUUAUAGAUUCACAAAUAUGUGAGGUGAAAGAACAGUUAAACAGAAGAAUAAAGUGUGGUGUUUUAUAAAGGCUGUUAAUUCUUUUUAAAGGUAAUUGCCUUUGGUAUGAAAAGGAGUGGAGGGGGGAGGGUGGAAUAAAGUGUUAGAAGGAAAUAUCUGUUUGAGAAGAGAGGAUAAGGAAAUUUGAGAAUUGAUUGGUGCUAGUGUGCUGUAAGUGGGUGGGUUUUUUAUUUUUUUUUAUUUUUAUUUUUAUUUUUUUUUGCUACAGGAAGUGAUUUGCAGUGCUCACUGAGCCUUUUGUUGAAAAGGGUCCUUCUCAUUUGUGUGAGUCAUGCUUCUGCUGUGAGCGAGUUGGCAGCUCUAAGCAGGACUGUGAUCUCUGUUAUAGAAAACUGUUACUUCACCUAACCUUAAAGUGGAACCACAAGAAAUAUCUUAAAAUUAUAUAUUUUUUGUUCUUCCUUAUAUUGUUUGCUUUUUUACCUCAAAAUCUUGUUCUCUGCCUGUGUUGCUAUGAAUCGCCUGCUAUGUUAGCACGGGCAUCUCCUGCAUUGGCAUCACAUUUGCCAGAACAUAUGC